rnacentral:tRNA from 1 species
UGGGAUGUAGCUCAGUGGUAGAGCACUAGCUUUACAAAGGACUCUGGGUUCAACCCCAGCAUCCCAC